UGCCAGACUCCUACGGGAGGCAGCAGUGGGGAAUAUUGCACAAUGGGGGAAACCCUGAUGCAGCGACGCCGCGUGAGCGAUGAAGUAUUUCGGUAUGUAAAGCUCUAUCAGCAGGGAAGAGGAUGACGGUACCUGACUAAGAAGCCCCGGCUAACUACGUGCCAGCAGCCGCGGUAAUACGUAGGGGGCAAGCGUUAUCCGGAUUUACUGGGUGUAAAGGGAGCGUAGACGGCGGCGCAAGCCAGAUGUGAAAGCCCGGGGCUCAACUCCGGGACUGCAUUUGGAACUGUGUGGCUGGAGUGUCGGAGAGGCAGGCGGAAUUCCUAGUGUAGCGGUGAAAUGCGUAGAUAUUAGGAGGAACACCAGUGGCGAAGGCGGCCUGCUGGACGAUGACUGACGUUGAGGCUCGAAAGCGUGGGGAGCAAACAGGAUUAGAUACCCCAGUAGA
rnacentral:rRNA from 1 species